UUAUACAGCGAAACUGCGAAUGGCUCAUUAUAUAAGUUAUCGUUUAUUUGAUAGUACCUUACUACUUGGAUAACCGUGGUAAUUCUAGAGCUAAUACAUGCUAAAAAUCCCGACUUCGGAAGGGAUGUAUUUAUUAGAUUAAAAACCAAUGCCCUCUGGGCUCCUUGGUGAUUCAUGAUAACUUCUCGAAUCGCAUGGCCUUGCGCCGGCGAUGGUUCAUUCAAAUUUCUUCCCUAUCAACUUUCGAUGUUUGGGUAGUGGCCAAACAUGGUUGCAACGGGUAACGGAGGGUUAGGGCUCGACCCCGGAGAAGGAGCCUGAGAAACGGCUACUACAUCCAAGGAAGGCAGCAGGCGCGCAAAUUACCCAAUCCCGAUUCGGGGAGGUAGUGACAAUAAAUACUGAUACAGGGCUCUUUUGGGUCUUGUAAUUGGAAUGAGUACAAUUUAAAUCCCUUAACGAGGAACAAUUGGAGGGCAAGUCUGGUGCCAGCAGCCGCGGUAAUUCCAGCUCCAAUAGCGUAUAUUAAAGUUGUUGUGGUUAAAAAGCUCGUAGUUGAACCUUGGGCCUGGCUGGCCGGUCCGCCUCACCGCGUGUACUGGUCCGGCCGGGCCUUUCCCUCUGUGGAACCCCAUGCCCUUCACUGGGUGUGGCGGGGAAACAGGACUUUUACUUUGAAAAAAUUAGAGUGCUCCAGGCAGGCCUAUGCUCGAAUACAUUAGCAUGGAAUAAUGAAAUAGGACGUGCGGUUCUAUUUUGUUGGUUUCUAGGACCGCCGUAAUGAUUAAUAGGGACAGUCGGGGGCAUCAGUAUUCAAUUGUCAGAGGUGAAAUUCUUGGAUUUAUUGAAGACUAACUACUGCGAAAGCAUUUGCCAAGGAUGUUUUCAUUAAUCAGGAACGAAAGUUAGGGGAUCGAAGACGAUCAGAUACCGUCGUAGUCUUAACCAUAAACUAUGCCGACUAGGGAUCGGACGAUGUUAUUUUUUGACUCGUUCGGCACCUUACGAGAAAUCAAAGU
rnacentral:rRNA from 1 species